UGGGCGGAGGGCAUUCUACCGAAACGCUCGACAUGAGGACGAAGCUGGGGGAGGCCGUACCGAUAAGAUACCGUAGUCAGCGUAACUAUGCGCCGUAGGUGUGCUGUAACUACGAGGUACGGGUGCCGAAGUGAAAACGGGAACGUGCCGCCUGGGAAGUACGGUCGCAAGGCUGAAACUAAAGGAAUGGCGGGGGAGCACCACAACGGGUGGAGCCUGCGGUUUAAUUGGACUCAACGCCGGGCAGCUCACCGGAUAGGACAGCGGAAUGAUAGCCGGGCUGAAGACCUUGCUUGACCAGCUGAGAGGAGGUGCAUGGCCGUCGUCAGUUAAAAAAAUGAAGCAUCCUGUUUAGUCAGGCAACGAGCGAGACGCACGCCAACAGUUGCUAGCAUGUUCUCCGGAAUGAUGAGGACAAAAAAAAGGACCGCCUCUGCUAAAGAGGAGGAAGGGGUGGGCAAAAGUAGGUCAGCAUGCCCCGAAAAAACCGGGCUACACGCGGGCUACAAUGGUCAGGACAAUGGGAAACGGCACUGAAAAGUGUAGUCAAUCUCCUAAACCUGUCCCAAGUUCGGAUUGUGGGCUGCAACUCGCCCACAUGAAGCUGGAAUCCGUAGUAAUCGCGUUCCAAAAUAGCGCGAGAAUAAGUCCCUGCCCCCCCACACACCGAAUCGGUCCCGGGCCCGUGAAUGAGAGGCCGCAUGCAAGCUGCGUAUAGUGAGUCGUAUAGAGCUGGCGACC
rnacentral:rRNA from 1 species